AGGAUGUUGGGGUCUGCUUUCUUUUAAAGGUAGAGGGGGGAAGCAAAGGAAAAGAAGAUAUAGGAGAGAGAAAGAGAGAGAAAGAUAAUGGAAGAACAUCUCAGCCCAUUAGCUGUGACUCAUCUGCUUCAACACACCCUGCGAAGCUUGUGUAUUCAUGAAAACUCCCAAUGGCUUUAUGCUGUCUUUUGGAGGAUCUUGCCAAGGAAUUACCCACCACCCAAAUGGGAUGGUCAAGGAGCCUAUGACAGGUCUAGAGGAAACAGAAGAAACUGGAUAUUGGUUUGGGAAGACGGUUUCUGCAACUUUUUUGCAUCAGCUGCAGAGAUCAACUCUAGUGAUUGUCCAAGUUCAUCUGUUUAUGACAACUGUGAAUUUCAACCCUAUCAAGGGCUUCAACCGGAGCUCUUCUUCAAGAUGUCUCAUGAAAUCUACAGUUACGGAGAAGGAUUGAUUGGUAAAGUAGCUGCUGAUCAUAGUCAUAAGUGGAUACACAAAGAACCGAAUCAUCAAGAAAUCAACUUCUUGUCAUCGUGGCGUAACUCAUCUGAUUCAGUAACCAGAUCUCUUUCCUACAUGUUUAGAAACAAGUUUAUGUGAUUUCAUGCUGUUUUCUUUUUCCCUACAAAGAAAAAUGGGUUCAUUUAACUUUCUCAUUAUAUAUGUUUUCUUACACAGCAUCCUAGGACAUGGGAAGCCCAGUUCCAAUCUGGUAUAAAGACCAUAGCCCUGAUUGCAGUUAGAGAAGGUGUUGUUCAACUAGGAGCUGUCCACAAGGUAAUUGAAGACCUGAGCUAUGUAGUUCUACUAAGAAAGAAAUUCAGCUACAUAGAAAGCAUUCCUGGAGUGCUCUUGCCACAUCCAUCAUCAUCAGCAUUCCCUUACAACGUGAACGGAUAUGGCACACCAGAGGCAUGGCACUACCAGAACACUAUUGCACCACCAACAGAGUUCUAUGACCACUUCAGUCAAGUCCCAUUCAAGAUAACACCCUCCAUGAGCAGCCUUGAAGCUCUACUCUCCAAGCUACCAUCAGUGGUGCCACCUCCACAGCCAGUUUCAGGCUACUGUACUGAGUCACAGCCACAGUCAGAGUCCCCGUACCUACCCAUGGAGUACAUGGGCAUGGAAAAGAUGGCGAAGGAGGAGAUUGAUGAAGAUUAUAGAGGGGAACAUGACACAGGGGAGAGUAGCAGUUCAAUGUCAGCUUAUCAUAGACAGCAAUUUCAACACCAGCACCACCAAGAUUUGAAUGUUAGUAGUAGCAGACCCAACAACGCGUACUUUGAGUGAAGGCGAUUUGGGUAUGUACGUAGGAAUGAGAAUUGAUUUCUAGGGUCUAGCGUUGUAAGGUAUUUAGUUUCAGUUUCAUUUGAUGUUUCAACUGAGGUUUUAGGUAACUUAGCUUUGGUUGUGGAAGCUAUGCUAGUCGUAGAUUUUUUCUGGAUUAAUUCCUAGUAUAUAUGAAUAUGAUACAUUACGGAUAUGCCCAAUUGCACAAGUAUUUGAUAUAAUUAAUGUGCCUAGUGUUUCUUAAUUGCUAUCCAUGCUAUGCUCUGCUGACUUGCUAUAUU
rnacentral:misc_RNA from 1 species